UACGUAGGUGGCAAGCGUUGUUCGGAAUUACUGGGCGUAAAGCGCGCGUAGGCGGCUCUUCAAGUCAGGCGUGAAAGCCCCGGGCUUAACUCGGGAACUGCGCUUGAUACUGUCGAGCUAGAGUGUGGAAGGGGCGAUUGGAAUUCCGUGUGUAGCGGUGAAAUGCGUAGAUAUACGGAGGAACACCAGAGGCGAAGGCGGAUCGCUGGGCCAACACUGACGCUGAUGUGCGAAAGCUAGGGGAGCAAACGGG
rnacentral:rRNA from 1 species